rnacentral:rRNA from 1 species
AAUCAACGCUGGCGGCGUGCCUAACACAUGCAAGUCGAACGCGAAAGCCCGCGAAGGGUAAGUAGAGUGGCGCACGGGUGAGUAACACGUGGACAACCUGCCUUCGAGUGGGGAAUAACCUUCCGAAAGGAGGGCUAAUACCGCAUAACACCUCGGGACACAAGUUUUGGGGUUGAAAAGAGCAAUUUGCUCGAAGAGGGGUCCGCGCCUGAUUAGCUAGUUGGUGAGGUAACGGCUCACCAAGGCUUCGAUCAGUAGCCGUCCUGAGAGGGAGCACGGCCACACUGGAACUGAGACACGGUCCAGACUCCUACGGGAGGCAGCAGUGGGGAAUUUUGGCAAUGGCGAAAGCCUGACCAAGCAACGCCGCGUGGGUGAUGAAGUAUCUUGGUACGUAAAACCCUUUCGGCAGGGACGAACCUAAUGACGGUACCUGCGGAAGAACG